GUUUGGUAAUUGUGUUACUGAGACACAAUGUAUUCCUGUAUAGUUAAAUGAGCCCCUAGUUAAGAAGACUAGACACUACUAUGUUUAUUGUUAUUUAUGGGCCACAUCAUUCUUGUUUCUCACCUCAGUCUUUCUUCACAGAUGGUGUUAAAGCACUCUGUACCAGUGAUCGUGGUCCAAUGCUCCUGUGUUGCAGGAAGUGCUAUGUGCAAUCCUCCGGUGGUCCUUCUUUACCAGACAGCGCACUAGUUCCCUAAACCUACUAACUCGUGUGCUGAUGGAAAAAGGAGUUCUCUCUACAAAGCUCUCAAUGGAUACAUGCCUGACAUGGACCUUCUCCGCUUCUCAGAAAGAUCAUUCUUUCAACAUGCAGCCUGGCAAUGGACUGGGUCUCCCUUAACCUCAUGUGCUGGCAUCUGUGUGCGUCUUGACAGAAAGGCUGGCUGGUAGACAUUGCACGGAACAAUGUCAUCUAGGAGAAAGCCCUUAUCCACCAUAAUGGCCAUGUCAGGGGUGAGUAAGGAACUAAUUCCAGACUGCUUGAAGAUCUCCUUGUCACUCACAGAUCCAGCAUACGAUGACACAAAAAAUGACAGCUCCGUGUGGUGACAUUCCCAACAUGCCCUUAAAGGUACAGUGUGACUUGUAGGAAGAGAACACCUCACUCUGCAGUAGUAGUGAAGAUGGUGUCUGGCAGCGGACUUCAGUGCAGUCCAUCACUACCUGGGUGUCUGGAUAGUCCUUCAACUCAGGUGGCAGGUGGGCUUUGAUGGUUUCCUUGGGGUCCAUAUCCGUGCUGAUCCAAGCAGACAGUAGGAGGAAGUUGGCCCAAGAGAUGAUAAUCCGGCUCACUGUCGAUUGGUGGAUGCUAAACCAAUGGGCUAAAUCCUUCUGCUUCAGACCCAGCGACAGAUGAGUCAUAAACAAGAAGAACUCGUUGAUUAAUGGCAGUGUCUGAACGUAAACAAAACCGUUUUAGUACAAUAUAGUCCUUUAUAUUCGGUCCAUAAUAAUAAUAGAAAAACAUCUAGAGGGGCCCCUCCUUUGCGGGGCUGUAAUUUAAACGUUCAUUGCGAACUAUUUCAGUCAGAAAUGCAUCGACGACAGAUAGAUCGCUAGUAAGCUAAUGAUUAAAAACAAUAGCAGAAAUCGUUCCGGAAGUCAUCAACCCGGUAGGAAGUAAAUUWAAAUGUUGUUGGCGGUAUAAAGCAUAAAGCCUAUUGACUGGCCAUCUCGGUGAAAAAAUAUGAUUUGACAUUUGUUAGUUUAGAUUUGUUUAU